AUUGAACGCUGGCGGAAUGCUUUACACAUGCAAGUCGAACGGCAGCACGGGGGCAACCCUGGUGGCGAGUGGCGAACGGGUGAGUAAUACAUCGGAACGUGCCCAUGUCGUGGGGGAUAACGUAGCGAAAGCUACGCUAAUACCGCAUACGAUCUACGGAUGAAAGCGGGGGAUCGCAAGACCUCGCGCGAUUGGAGCGG
rnacentral:rRNA from 1 species